CCUACGGGAGGCUGCAGUGGGGAAUAUUGGGCAAUGGGCGCAAGCCUGACCCAGCAACGCCGCGUGAAGGAAGAAGGCUUUCGGGUUGUAAACCUCUUUUGACAGGGAAGAGUAGAAGACGGUCUCUGUCGAAUAAGCCACGGCUCACCACGCGCCAGCCGCCGCGGUAAUACGUAGGGGGCAAGCGUUGUCCGUAUGUACUGGGUGUAAAGGGCGUGUAGCCGGGUUGACAAGUCAGAUGUGAAAUCCUGCGGCUUAACCGCAGAACUGCAUUUGACACUGUUGAUCUGGAGUACUGGAGAGGCAGACGGAAUGCCUAGUGUAGCGGUGAAAUGCGUAGAUAUUAGGAGGAACACCAGUGGCGAAGGCGGUCUGCUGGACAGCAACUGACGGUGAGGCGCGAAAGCGUGGGGAGCAAACAGGAUUAGAUACCCUUGUAGUC
rnacentral:rRNA from 1 species